UUUUAAGUUAGAAACCCUAUUAUCUCUUCAAAUCUGAGUUGCAACACUGAGUCCGAGUUGCAACACUCCUAAGUUAGAAAUCCUACUAUCUCUUCAUAUGUUUCUCUCUACAAUCGCUGAGUUCGCCAAAAGCUUCCAUCCACCAUUCAAAAUUGAAUCUUGGCAUCAAAUUUCAUCAACGUUUUGUAUAUAAAUCCUGGACCAGCAUCAAGAUCCGUCAUUUUACCCUCUGUUAUAUUUCUCUCUUUGAUUCUUGUUGUAUUCGGCAGCUUCGUCUUCUUGAUGAGCCACAAGUUCGAGAGCCGCUGUGAGCGGUGGUCUCUAAAUGAGUUGAGGAUUUAUCUGAAGUUUCUGCUAUAG
rnacentral:lncRNA from 1 species